rnacentral:rRNA from 1 species
GGAAUAUUGCGCAAUGGACGAAAGUCAGACGCAGCGACGCCGCGUGGGUGAAGAAGGCCUUCGGGUUGUAAAGCCCUUUUCUGGGGGAAGAGGCAGGACGGUACCCCAGGAAUAAGUGUCGGCUAACUACGUGCCAGCAGCCGCGGUAAUACGUAGGACACGAGCGUUAUCCGGAUUUACUGGGCGUAAAGCGCCUGUAGGCGGUGAGAUAAGUCGGCUGUGAAAGCCCUGGGCUUAACCCGGGGAGGCCAGGCGAUACUGUCUGACUUGAGGGUGACAGAGGGGAGUGGAAUUCCCGGUGUAGCGGUAAAAUGCGCAGAUAUCGGGAGGAACACCAGUGGCGAAGGCGGCUCCCUGGGUCACCCCUGACGCUGAGAGGCGAAAGCUAGGGGAGCGAACAGG